rnacentral:rRNA from 1 species
UACGAAGGGGGCUAGCGUUGUUCGGAAUUACUGGGCGUAAAGCGCGCGCAGGCGGUCCUUCAAGUCAGAGGUGAAAGCCCAGGGCUCAACCCUGGAACUGCCUUUGAAACUGGAGGACUUGAGUACGGGAGAGGUGAGUGGAAUUCCGAGUGUAGAGGUGAAAGUCGUAGAUAUUCGGAAGAACACCAGUGGCGAAGGCGGCUCACUGGCCCGUUACUGACGCUCAGGCGCGACAGCGUGGGGAGCAAACAGG